rnacentral:lncRNA from 1 species
CUAUUUGAUAGGUUCUAAGUGUUGAAGAUGAAGACUUGGUGAGUCCUCAUAGAUUCGAGGACAAUACCCAAUAUAUUCUUUUAUGUCUUUUUAGUAUUGUUUAAGUUGUGUACGGGAUUAGUCCCGAAUUUUGUACUCUAAAGUAUUAGAUGGUUAUGAGACAUCAUGUAUAAAGUCUAGAAAGUCUUCCGCUUGCUUUAUAUAUUUUUUUU